rnacentral:rRNA from 1 species
AAUCAACGCUGGCGGCGUGCCUCAGACAUGCAAGUCGAACGAUUAAACUUUCCUUCGGGAAAGAUAUAAAGUGGCGCACGGGUGAGUAACACGUAAGUAAUCUACCUUCGAGUGGGGAAUAACGUUCGGAAACGAACGCUAAUACCGCAUAAUGCAGCGGCACCUAAUGGUGACAGUUGUUAAAGGAGCAAUUCGCUUGAAGAGGAGCUUGCGGCAGAUUAGCUAGUUGGAAGGUAAUGGCUUACCAAGGCUACGAUCUGUAACCGGUCUAAGAGGACGGUCGGUCACACUGACACUGAAUAACGGGUCAGACUCCUACGGGAGGCAGCA